rnacentral:rRNA from 1 species
CCUACGGGAGGCAGCAGUGGGGAAUAUUGGGCAAUGGGCGCAAGCCUGACCCAGCAAUGCCGCGUGAAGGAAGAAGGCUUUCGGGUUGUAAACUUCUUUGACAGGGGAAGAGCAGAAGACGGUACCCUGAAAACAAGCCACGGCUAACUACGUGCCAGCAGCCGCGGUAAUACGUAGGUGGCAAGCGUUGUCCGGAUUUACUGGGUGUAAAGGGCGUGUAGCCGGGAAGGCAAGUCAGAUGUGAAAUCUGGAGGCUGAACCUCCAAAUUGCAGUUGAAAUUGUGGUGCUUGAGUACGGGAGAGGUAGAUGGAAUUCCUUGUGUAGCGGGGAAAUGCGUAGAUAUAAGGAGGAACACCAGUGGCGAAGGCGGUCUGCUGGACAGCAACUGACGGUGAGGCGCGAAAGCGUGGGGAGCAAACAGGAUUAGAUACCCCUGUAGUC